UGAGGAAUAUUGGUCAAUGGGCGAGAGCCUGAACCAGCCAAGUAGCGUGCAGGACGACGGCCCUAUGGGUUGUAAACUGCUUUUGCGCGGGGAUAAAGUGCGCCACGCGUGGCUCAUUGCAGGUACCGCGCGAAUAAGGACCGGCUAAUUCCGUGCCAGCAGCCGCGGUAAUACGGAAGGUCCGGGCGUUAUCCGGAUUUAUUGGGUUUAAAGGGUGCGCAGGCGGCGUGCCAAGUCAGCGGUCAAAGUUCCGGGCUCAACCCGGUGAUGCCGUUGAAACUGGUGUGCUUGAGUGCGUGCGAGGGAGGCGGAAUGCGUUGUGUAGCGGUGAAAUGCAUAGAUAUGACGCAGAACUCCGAUUGCGAAGGCAGCUUUCCAGCACGCCACUGACGCUGAGGCACGAAAGCGUGGGGAUCGAACAGGAUUAGAUACCCUGGUAGU
rnacentral:rRNA from 1 species